AUGCCAAAUCUUUUCAGUCUCUCUCUCUGUUACUCUAUCUAUAUACCCACUCCCUCUCUCUCUGUUACUCUAUCUAUACCCACUCCCUCUUUCUGUUACUCUUUCUAUACCCACUCCCUCUCUCUCUGUUACUCUAUCUAUACCCACUCCCUCUCUCUGUUACUCUAUCUAUACCCACUCCCUCUCUCUCUCUAUUACUCUAUCUAUACCCACUCCCUCUCUCUCUGUUACUCUAUCUAUACCCACUCCUCUUUCUGUUACUCUUUCUAUACCCACUCCCUCUCUCUCUGUUACUAUAUCUAUACCCACUCCCUCUCUCUAUUACUCUAUCUAUACCCACUCCCUCUCUCUGUUACUCUAUCUAUACCCACUCCCUCUCUCUCUAUUACUCUAUCUAUACCCACUCCCUCUCUCUCUGUUACUCUAUCUAUAACCACUCCCUCUCUCUGUUACUCUAUCUAUACCCACUCCUUCUCUCUCUGUUACUCUAUAUAUACCCACUCCCUCUCUCUCUGUUACUCUAUCUAUACCCACUCCCCCUCUCUGUUAAUCUAUCUAUACCCACUCCCUCUCUCUGUUACUCUAUCUAUACCCACUCCCUCUCUCUCUGUUACUCUAUCUAUACCCACUCCCUCUCUCUCUUUUACUCUAUCUAUACCCACUCCCUCUCUCUCUGUUACUCUAUCUAUACCCACUCCCUCUCUCUCUUUUACUCUAUCUAUACCCACUCCCUCUCUCUGUUACUCUAUCUAUACCCACUCCCUCUCUCUCUAUUCAUCUAUCUAUACCCACUCCCUCUCUCUGUUACCCUAUAUAUACCCACUCCCUCUCUCUCUGUUACUCUAUCUAUACCCACUUCCUCUCUCUCUGUUACUCUAUCUAUACCCACUCCCUCUCUCUCUAUUACUCUAUCUAUUCCCACUCCCUCUCUCUCUAUUACUAUAUCUAUACCCACUCCCUCUCUCUGUUACUCUAUCUAUACCCACUCCCUCUCUCUAUUUUACUCGAUCUAUACCCACUCCCUCUCUCUCUUUUACUCUAUCUAUACCCACUCCCUCUCUCUCUGUUACUCUAUCUAUACCCACUCCCUCUCUCUCUUUUACUCUAUCUAUACCCACUCCCUCUCUCUGUUACUCUAUCUAUACCCACUCGCUCUCUCUCUCUGUUACUCUAUCUAUACCCACUCCCUCUCUCUCUUUUACUCGAUCUAUACCCACUCCCUCUCUCUCUUUUACUCUAUCUAUACCCACUCCCUCUCUCUCUGUUACUCUAUCUAUACCCACUCCCUCUCUCUCUUUUACUCUAUCUAUACCCACUCCCUCUCUCUGUUACUCUAUCUAUACCCACUCCCUCUCUCGCUCUAUUACUCUAGCUAUACCCACUCCCUCUCUCUCUUUUACUCUAUCUAUACCCACUCCCUCUCUCUAUGUUACUCUAUCUAUACCCACUCCCUCUCUCUCUUUUACUCUAUCUAUACCCACUCCCUCUCUCUGUUACUCUAUCUAUACCCACUCCCUCUCUCUCUGUUACUCUAUCUAUACCCACUCCCUCUCUCUCUAUUACUCUAUCUAUUCCCACUCCCUCUCUCUCUAUUACUAUAUCUAUACCCACUCCCUCUCUCUGUUACUCUAUCUAUACCCACUCCCUCUCUCUCUUUUACUCGAUCUAUACCCACUCCCUCUCUCUCUUUUACUCUAUCUAUACCCACUCCCUCUCUCUCUCUAUUACUCUAUCUAUACCCACUCCCUCUCUCUCUAUUACUCUAUCUAUACCCACUCCCUCUCUCUCUCUAUUACUCUGUCUGUACCCACUCCCUCUCUCUCUGUUACUCGAUCUAUACCCACUCCCUCUCUCUCUUUUACUCUAUCUAUACCCACUCCCUCUCUCUCUCUAUUACUCUAUCUAUACCCACUCCCUCUCUCUCUAUUACUCUAUCUAUACCCACUCCCUCUCUCUCUCUAUUACUCUGUCUGUACCCACUCCCUCUCUCUCUGUUACUCUAUCUAUACCCACUCCCUCUCUCUCUUUUACUCGAUCUAUACCCACUCCCUCUCUCUCUUUUACUCUAUCUAUACCCACUCCCUCUCUCUCUGUUACUCUAUCUAUACCCACUCCCUCUCUCUCUUUUACUCUAGCUAUACCCACUCCCUCUCUCUGUUACUCUAUCUAUACCCACUCCCCCUCUCUCUCUAUUACUCUAUCUAUACCCACUCCCUCUCUCUCUUUUACUCUAUCUAUACCCACUCCCUCUCUCUAUGUUACUCUAUCUAUACCCACUCCCUCUCUCUCUUUUACUCUAUCUAUACCCACUCCCUCUCUCUGUUACUCUAUCUAUACCCACUCCCUCUCUCUCUGUUACUCUAUCUAUACCCACUCCCUCUCUCUCUAUUACUCUAUCUAUUCCCACUCCCUCUCUCUCUAUUACUAUAUCUAUACCCACUCCCUCUCUCUGUUACUCUAUCUAUACCCACUCCCUCUCUCUCUUUUACUCGAUCUAUACCCACUCCCUCUCUCUCUUUUACUCUAUCUAUACCCACUCCCUCUCUCUCUCUAUUACUCUAUCUAUACCCACUCCCUCUCUCUCUAUUACUCUAUCUAUACCCACUCCCUCUCUCUCUCUAUUACUCUGUCUGUACCCACUCCCUCUCUCUCUGUUACUCUAUCUAUACCCACUCCCUCUCUCUCUGUUACUCUAUUUAUACCCACUCCCUCUCUCUCUGUUACUCUAUCAAUACCCAGUCCCUCUCUCUCUGUUACUCUAUCUAUACCCACUCCUCCUUCUGUUACUCUAUCUAUACCCACUCCCUCUCUCUGUUACUCUAUCUAUACCCAGUCCCUCUCUCUCUGUUACUCUAUCUAUACCCACUCCCUCUCUCUGUUACUCUAUCUAUACCCACUCCCUCUCUCUGUUACUCUAUCUAUACCCACUCCCUCUAUCUCUAUUACUCUAUCUAUACCCACUCCCUCUCUCUCUGUUACUCUAUCUAUACCCACUCCCUCUCUCUCUGUUACUCUAUCUAUACCCACUCCCUCUCUCUCUGUUACUCUAUCUAUACCCACUCCCUCUCUCUCUAUUACUCUAUCUAUACCCACUCCCUCUCUCUCUAUUACUCUAUCUAUACCCACUCCCUCUCUCUCUGUUACUCUAUCUAUACCCACUCCCUCUCUUCCCCCCUCUCUCUCUUUCUCGCUUCCUUGCUUCAGCAAUUUGGACGGUGUUUGCCAGGGCAAACAGUGGCAGAGCAUCUCACGAAAGACACAUGCACGCAAGCAAGCUAACACACACACACAGUUAUGCACACUUACACACUCAGCAACCAGGGUUGAUCUUUUGAAUCAAUUUCUGCAGGUUUGUGUGUCUAUCUAUCUAUCUAUCUAUCUAUCUAUCUAUCUAUCUAUCUAUCUAUCAGAGGUGUAUGGACGGGGGAAGCUAAACUCCAACAUGGUCGUUAGUGCUCUUGUUUUAAUUCCUUCCUUUAUUUAUGCAUGCCUCUGUGCCUGGCCGUUUAACAGCCAGCUGUUCUGAGGUGAGCCCGGCGGAAUGCCAAGUCCCCUGUGGUUGGUUACCGUUGGUUACCAUCACCGUUAACAUUCCCUCUCCUCCCCCGCCCCUCUCCUCUGCC
rnacentral:lncRNA from 1 species